rnacentral:lncRNA from 1 species
UUACUUUCCCUAUUAAAAUGUCUUUAUCUCAGCAUUCCAGAUCUCUCCCCAGUCCUGUUAGUGAGGGAGUGAGCUGAUGGCUCUCUGGGACUUGGUUGAUGGCUGAAGUUAUAACAUGACACUUCUCUGUGUGCCCCUUCUUGAGAAUGGAGGACUGCAGUCACCCUUCAUCCCUACAGCCAUCUGGGCUAAAACACUGGCUUUGGGCUCCAUGAUGAAGAGCCACAAGCAGAGGCUGUGGAGCACUAGUCACACAUUACUGAAGUGUUUGGGAGAAAAAAAUAUCCAGGUCUGGACUUUUGAGUUCAGCUUGUCUUUCAUCCCAAGACUCAGACCAUCAGUAAGAAAAAUACCAGCUGCUGUUUAAGGAGAAAUACAAGAAUUUUUGACUACAAGAUCAAAUAGAACAUCAGAUAAAAGGAG